rnacentral:rRNA from 1 species
UUCUAGUGGCGGACGGGUGAGUAACGCGUGGGUAACCUGCCUUGUACAGGGGGAUAACAGUCAGAAAUGGCUGCUAAUACCGCAUAAGCGCACAGGACCGCAUGGUCCGGUGUGAAAAACUCCGGUGGUAUAAGAUGGACCCGCGUUGGAUUAGCUUGUUGGCAGGGUAACGGCCUACCAAGGCGACGAUCCAUAGCCGGCCUGAGAGGGUGAACGGCCACAUUGGGACUGAGACACGGCCCAGACUCCUACGGGAGGCAGCAGUGGGGAAUAUUGCACAAUGGGGGAAACCCUGAUGCAGCGACGCCGCGUGAAGGAAGAAGUAUCUCGGUAUGUAAACUUCUAUCAGCAGGGAAGAAAAUGACGGUACCUGACUAAGAAGCCCCGGCUAACUACGUGCCAGCAGCCGCGGUAAUACGUAGGGGGCAAGCGUUAUCCGGAUUUACUGGGUGUAAAGGGAGCGUAGACGGCGCAGCAAGUCUGAUGUGAAAGGCAGGGGCUUAACCCCUGGACUGCAUUGGAAACUGCUGUGCUUGAGUGCCGGAGGGGUAAGCGGAAUUCCUAGUGUAGCGGUGAAAUGCGUAGAUAUUAGGAGGAA